AUGGCGUCCGAGGGGUGCCUGAUCUUCCUGCAGGAGACGGGCUGAGACAGCCUUAACGGGGCUGAACCCUUUGAACCUGAUCCGGGUCAUGCCGGCGAAGGAACGGGAGUCAGCUGUGGG
rnacentral:ncRNA from 1 species